rnacentral:lncRNA from 1 species
CAACAUUUUGGAGAAUGGAAAAUGAAUAGAAGAGUGAAAGUUGACCUAGCAGAGCAGAAUGAGAUGGGUUCUACCUGCUGAGGUGGGUCUUAACCAAGAAGCAAACCAGUGUGCCUUUCUGGACCCAGAAAAGGCUCAGCAGAGGGGAUUUGCAAGUUCUCGAAAAAUUUAUUUCCUAUGCUUUCAAGGGACGCUACCAAAGAAUGUGCUUUACCAAGUAAGGAGUAAAGUCUCCAGGAAACAAGGAUCCAACAUGGAGAAGUAAAGGGAAUAAUUCGGAUGAUGCAGAGAAGUCCCAGAAAGACAGCCGUGCACAGGCUGAGACAGCCAGCGGUGCAGACCAGAGCAGCAGAAUGGAAGGCUCCAGGGGAGAAAAUGGAUGGGUUAUCUAAUACAUGUGAUUGAGUGAACAGAAUAUGUAUUAAUAAACUUAUGUGGAAAGACUUAAUAAUAAGUACACUAUGUAAAAACAGAC